UUUUUUGAAGGAUUAUUAUCUUAUUAUGAUCAAAGUAAACAGGCUGUAAAUUAGUUUUCUUUUGGAAUGAGACAGCAUAGUAACUGAGUUCAAACAACCGUUCUUAAAAAAAUUUAUCAUUUGAAUGCCGGCUUGCUUAGCUUUUAUGUGGUUGCAGUUUCAGACUGUGUUAGGUCUCUCCAUAAUUCUACCGCUCCUGAUGGCAACUUUGCCACUAACUGAAAUUUAUUGCACACAGCUCCUUCCUAUUUUUUGUCAUUCUGCAGAAAAUUAGUGAACUUUUUCUUGACAUUAGCUACCGAGAGUGACAUAAUGGUGCCAAGAUGGGAGGUAUUGAACUGUGAACUUUACAAAUGUAUGUUGUUCGUUACUUGUGCAUAAUUCAGAAAAAUCAAAAGGAUGUUGCUUGUUUUAGCU
rnacentral:lncRNA from 1 species